CAGAGGGUGCGAGCGUUAAUCGGAAUUACUGGGCGUAAAGCGCGCGUAGGCGGCUUUGCAAGUCGGGUGUGAAAUCCCCAGGCUUAACCUGGGAACUGCAUUCGAGACUGCAUUGCUAGAGUAUGGGAGAGGGAAGUGGAAUUUCCGGUGUAGCGGUGAAAUGCGUAGAUAUCGGAAGGAACAUCAGUGGCGAAAGCGACUUCCUGGACCAAUACUGACGCUCAUGUGCGAAAGCGUGGGGAGCAAACAGGAUUAGAUACCCUGGUAGUCCACGCCAUAAACGAUGACAACUGGAUGCCGGGAGGGUCUGCCCCUCGGUGUCGUAGCUAACGCGUUAAGUUGUCCGCCUGGGGAGUACGGCCGCAAGGUUG
rnacentral:rRNA from 1 species